rnacentral:lncRNA from 10 species
AGACACCAACUGGGUGUCCUGUAUUUUAAUUCUAUGCUGACUCCUUCUACCUGGAGUUAGACUCAGAUCCCACAGUCUAAGGGCUCAGUCUCAGAAGGCUGCCCCCACUUCAGAUACCAAUUACAAGUAGUAAGUUGCCAUCUAUGCGUCUGACCCAUCAGCUGUAAGUUGGGAUUCCCACCACUCCCUUGGGUUUGCUUAAUUUGCUAGGAUGGCUCACAGAACUCACGGAAGCAUGUUUACCAUUUUAUUAUAAAGGAUGUCAUCAUGGACACAGAUGGACAGCCAGAGGAGGAGAGUCACAAGUAUGAAACCAGCAGACUCAUUUUACAACCUUGUUUUGGCAGAGGAGGCCCAAGAGCCUGGCCUCUUUCCCAAGCCGCCACAAAGAUAUCAGCUUUGGAAAUGUGCCCAAAGCUCGUAGCUGGAAUGACCUGCACGGAGUCCUAGGAAAUAAGCAGGCUUGGACCCAACCCAGCCAGAAGGUCAUUCCCCACCCGCUGGUCUCCCCGCCGUGCUUUGGAGCCACAGUCACCUCCAGAGUGUCUUGGUUGCUACCACUAUUCUGACCCCAGUUUUUUGUUUUUGUUUUAAAGCCCUUAAGGAGGCACAGCUCUCCCCAGAAGGGCUAAUUCCUUGUCUCACAGCAAGACAAUUUGUAUGAAUUUUCACUAAAUCUCACCAUGGCCUUGACUCCCCACCAGGAAGGGCAACUUUAUUUCCCAGUUUCCAGGCUCUGGAAGGCUGUGGAUGCCACCAGUAUCUCUUUUGUUUUUAAACACCAUGUGAGGGUGGUGGGGAUUUACAGGGACCACAUCUCAAGUACUUGAAACUUGUAAAGGUUCUUUUUAUAAAUGAUUCUUUAUCUGGUGACUGUUUGCAUUGUGGUUUCUAAAUUUGGAGUCCCUUGCAUUGUUGCUCACUGCAUUUUUAAUUGACAGAUUUUUGUUGGCCGUCUAUUGUGCCCUCAGCUCUCGUUACUCAUGCACAGAUGUAGAGAGUAGGUGUUUGCUUUGAGGAGUUUAGACUCUUGCAGGGGAGAGCCUGUGUGACGCACCUGUCUGUCUCUCCCUCAUAGCAGUGAAUCAUGUGCUGCCUUGAUUUAAGUGCCUGUCUCGUCUGUGAGCUGCCCAGGGACGAGGGCCGUACCAUUCUGU